GGCCUGGUUCUAAUAAUUGUAUAGGUGUCCAGAAAAAUAAGCGCUUGGUGAUGUUUUAGGUAUUUUUCUAAUUAAAAUAUUAUGGGAUUUCAUUUUUUUCAUUUAAUGAUUUUGGUUGCUGGUUUCUUGGUUAUCAAGUGUCAUUUUUUGCUUGCGAAACAAGUCAUAUAACAUUGUAGAAGGAUCUAAUAGGCUGGCUC
rnacentral:lncRNA from 1 species